UCACAUUGCUUAGUUGCAAUGCAAUGUUGUGCCUUCAUUCUAAAUACAAAGAGACUUGCAGAAAUCAUGUAACUAUCUAGCCUCUUUUUAAUUUAUUUUUGUCUUUUUGUACUUCCAUCUUUUUCUGUUCACUUAUGUAAGACUAAGCUAAGGAUUUACAGGGUUUUUUGUUUUAGACGUGGAGAGCAAACAAUGUACCAAUCUUCCUCGUUAUAGAUAAGAAAAUAUAUGGUCAAAUCCAGUUUUAAAGUCAGGUAGUUGAAGCUCUAUAUUAUCGAAUCAACCCUCCUGGUCAUUGUCCUCAUGAAGAAGUAGUCGGGUAUCCAAUUCCUCACUAUUUAGUUUGAAACUGUUCUGUCUGCCAUAAUAUUACGUGCACUUGUAGGN
rnacentral:lncRNA from 1 species